rnacentral:rRNA from 1 species
GACGAACGCUGGCGGCGUGCUUAACACAUGCAAGUCGAACGGAAAGGCCCUGCUUUUGUGGGGUGCUCGAGUGGCGAACGGGUGAGUAACACGUGAGUAACCUGCCCUUGACUUUGGGAUAACUUCAGGAAACUGGGGCUAAUACCGGAUAUGAGCUCCUGCUGCAUGGUGGGGGUUGGAAAGUUUCGGCGGUUGGGGAUGGACUCGCGGCUUAUCAGCUUGUUGGUGGGGUAGUGGCUUACCAAGGCUUUGACGGGUAGCCGGCCUGAGAGGGUGACCGGCCACAUUGGGACUGAGAUACGGCCCAGACUCCUACGGGAGGCAGCAGUGGGGAAUAUUGAACAAUGGGCGGAAGCCUGAUGCAGCAACGCCGAGUGCGGGAUGACGGCCUUCGGGUUGUAAACCGCUUUCGCCUGUGACGAAGCGUGAGUGACGGUAAUGGGUAAAGAAGCACCGGCUAACUACGUG